rnacentral:lncRNA from 1 species
UAAACUGUCUCUCCAUCUUAAUUCGAAUGCGCUUAUCAACCGACUCGGUGAUUCCUCGGAUUCCGCUUCUCCACCCCGGGUUCGUGACCCCAGUACUCACCGAGGAAGGUCUUGGCGGCGUCCAGGCUAGGGUAGUAAGUGGGCUCGAGGAAAAUCUGACUCAGUGAGUCGCACGACUCCGAAUUCACCAGGAUUCUGCUUGCGUUGGCCUCCAAGCUCCCCAUAACAACCGUCAAGACCUCCUUGUAUGCGAAGAAGAACCUCUUCAAAGCCGCCUCUAUAGCUUGCAACCCUUGAAGAAGAUGGAUCUUCUCCGGCUCCCUCUUCUCUCUAUAGAGUUCCAUGGCCGCCUCCUGAAUUCUGGGCCCACCCGUGGGGUCCACCUCCACCCCCAAGACGAAAGGCACCUUGUGCUUCAGCUCCUUGGACAGUUUGGUAAUUUCAACCAAACCUACCGAUCUGAAACAAAACGCUUCGUUUUGAGAUAGGGACUUUAUCUGUAACUGAUUCUUCAGCUUUAGGAAAUCUUCAGGGUCCAUCAACAGGUGGAGGUCUUCGAUAUCGGCGAGAAGCAUCCAGAUCCUCUCCAGCAGGUAGCAGUCGUUGGCGGCUUCUUUGAAUUCCUUCUUCUCGAUUCGCCUAACAAUGCGUUCUAGUAGCUCCUUCGACGCCUGGAUCCACGACUCCAGGAUCUGGUGUGUGGUGUAUAGCUUUUGGUUCUCGUGGUUCUUUACGUGGUCGUAAGGAUUUCUUUUCAGGGCAUGUAGUUCGUUAGGCCGGCAAACGGCGUCGUAUUCCAGGCUCGGCUUGCCGGCAAGGUUCGGUUCCCCUAGCCCGAGGGUGUACGGACAUCUCUUCAUCUCGCACUCAAUGGAGUACAAGAUCUUCUGUGCUAUGUCCUCGGAUUUCCGCCACGUGGCAAGACGAGGAAGCAAGCUAGCCUCGCUGGUUCGGUUCACGAACGUCGUCUUCUCCGCGCCACCGCCAAGCUUCCAAACCUCUGCCGAGCUACCAUCCCUCUCCAACACCCCGCUCGAAGAGCUUACAUCGGCAAUCGGAGCCGCACCGCCUCUUCCGGUAGCCACAUCGUUCUCACAGAUCUCCGCGACAAGCUCGAUCUGUCUGGUGGCCAGCGACUCGAGUCGCCGCUUCCACUCUCUCCGGUUGAC